CAGCGGCAGCCUAAUCAUGCGAGUCGGACGGGAUUGGGAUUAAAGCUUGCUUUGAUUUCAUGAGAGUGGCGCACGGGUGCGUAACGCGUGAGCAACCUACCCAUAUCAGGGGGAUAGCCUCUCGAAAGAGAGAUUAACACCGCAUAACAUCAUUUACCGGCAUCGGUUGAUGAUCAAAUAUUUAUAGGAUAUGGAUGGGCUCGCGUGACAUUAGCUAGUUGGAGGGGUAACGGCCCACCAAGGCUACGAUGUCUAGGGGCUCUGAGAGGAGAAUCCCCCACACUGGUACUGAGACACGGACCAGACUCCUACGGGAGGCAGCAGUAAGGAAUAUUGGUCAAUGGAGGGAACUCUGAACCAGCCAUGCCGCGUGCAGGAUGACUGCCCUAUGGGUUGUAAACUGCUUUUGUCAGGGAAUAAACCUUUCCACGUGUGGGAAGCUGAAUGUACCUGAAGAAUAAGGAUCGGCUAACUCCGUGCCAGCAGCCGCGGUAAU
rnacentral:rRNA from 1 species